rnacentral:rRNA from 1 species
AGAGUUUGAUCCUGGCUCAGGAUGAACGCUGGCGGCGUGCUUAACACAUGCAAGUCGAACGGAGUUAUUUUAAAAGCUUGCUUUUUAAAUAACUUAGUGGCGGACGGGUGAGUGACGCGUGGGUAACCUGCCGUAUACAGGGGGAUAACACUUAGAAAUAGGUGCUAAUACCGCGUAAGCGCACAGGACCGCAUGGUCGAGUGUGAAAAACUCCGGUGGUAUACGAUGGACCCGCGUCUGAUUAGAUAGUUGGUGAGGUAACGGCUCACCAAGGCUGCGAUCAGUAGCCGGACUGAGAGGUUGAACGGCCACAUUGGGACUGAGAUACGGCCCAGACUCCUACGGGAGGCAGCAGUGGGGAAUAUUGGGCAAUGGGCGAAAGCCUGACCCAGCAACGCCGCGUGAAGGAAGAAGGUCUUCGGAUUGUAAACUUCUUUUAUGGGGGACGAAGGACGUGACGGUACCUCAUGAAUAAGCCACGGCUAACUACGUGCCAGCAGCCGCGGUAAUACGUAGGUGGCAAGCGUUAUCCGGAUUUACUGGGUGUAAAGGGCGCGUAGGCGGGGAUGCAAGUCAGAUGUGAAAUCUAUGGGCUUAACCCAUAAACUGCAUUUGAAACUGUAUCUCUUGAGUGCUGGAGAGGUAGAUGGAAUUCCUUGUGUAGCGGUGAAAUGCGUAGAUAUAAGGAAGAACACCAGUGGCGAAGGCGAUCUACUGGACAGUAACUGACGCUGAGGCGCGAAAGCGUGGGGAGCAAACAGGAUUAGAUACCCUGGUAGUCCACGCUGUAAACGAUGAAUACUAGGUGUCGGGGGGCUAUAGCUUUUCGGUGCCGCAGCUAACGCAAUAAGUAUUCCACCUGGGGAGUACGUUCGCAAGAAUGAAACUCAAAGGAAUUGACGGGGACCCGCACAAGCGGUGGAGCAUGUGGUUUAAUUCGAAGCAACGCGAAGAACCUUACCUGGUCUUGACAUCUGAAUGACCGGUCAGUAAUGUGACCUUUCCUUCGGGACAUUCAAGACAGGUGGUGCAUGGUUGUCGUCAGCUCGUGUCGUGAGAUGUUGGGUUAAGUCCCGCAACGAGCGCAACCCUUAUCUUUAGUAGCCAGCAGUAAGAUGGGGACUCUAGAGAGACUGCCAGGGAUAACCUGGAGGAAGGCGGGGAUGACGUCAAAUCAUCAUGCCCCUUAUGACCAGGGCUACACACGUGCUACAAUGGCGUAAACAAAGGGAAGCGACCCUGUGAAGGCAAGCGAAUCCCAAAAAUAACGUCUCAGUUCGGAUUGUAGUCUGCAACUCGACUACAUGAAGCUGGAAUCGCUAGUAAUCGCAGAUCAGAAUGCUGCGGUGAAUACGUUCCCGGGUCUUGCACACACCGCCCGUCA